AAGUCGUAACAAGGUUUCCGUAGGUGAACCUGCGGAAGGAUCAUUACACUCAGUAGUUUACUACUGUUAAAGAGGCUGUUAGUCUGUAUAGCUUUACCGCUGAUGAGCAGCUGGCCUCUUUUCUCCACCCUUGUCUUUUGCGCACCCAUGUUUCCUCGGCAGGCUUACCUGCCGGCUGGACAAUACAAUAACCUUUUUCAUUUUCAAUCAGCGUCUGAAAAAAACUUAAUAAUUACAA
rnacentral:misc_RNA from 1 species